rnacentral:rRNA from 1 species
AGACCGAUAGCGAACAAGUACCGUGAGGGAAAGAUGAAAAGAACUUUGAAAAGAGAGUUAAACAGUGCGUGAAAUUGUUGAAAGGGAAACGUUUGACACCAGUUAUGCGGGUGGAAAAUCAGUCUUUUGCAAUGGGGAGUUGUGGGCGUUCAGACCGCAAGGCUGGCGUUUGCUUCAUCUUUGUUGUAAGUGAUGCACUUUUUCAUUUGCAGGUCAACAUCAGUUUGCUUUGCUGGACAAAACCCCAAGGGAAGGUGGCAGCUUAGGCUGUGUUAUAGCCCUGGGGCGAUACAGUGGAGUGGACUGAGGUUUCGCAGUGUGUGCUCUCGGGCAAGGCUGACUGGGUGCUAUGGGAUCGUUCGGCGUACAAUGCAUGCAUUUUGCGUCGUGUCUUUUUUAUACUCGCUCAACUCGGCUCUUCCACACUUAGGAUGUUGACUUAAUGGUUUUAAACGACCCGUCUUGAAACACGGACCAAG